rnacentral:rRNA from 1 species
GUAGGUGGCAAGCGUUGUCCGGAAUUAUUGGGCGUAAAGCGCGCGCAGGCGGUUCUUUAAGUCUGAUGUGAAAGCCAACGGGCUCAACCGUGGAGGGUCAUUGGAAACUGGAGAACUUGAGUACAGAAGAGGAAAGCGGAAUUCCACGUGUAGCGGUGAAAUGCGUAGAGAUGUGGAGGAACACCAGUGGCGAAGGCGGCUUUCUGGUCUGUAACUGACGCUGAGGCGCGAAAGCGUGGGGAGCAAACAGGAUUAGAUACCCUGGUAGUCCACGCCGUAAACGAUGAGUGCUAAGUGUUAGGGGGUUUCCGCCCCUUAGUGCUGCAGCUAACGCAUUAAGCACUCCGCCUGGGGAGUACGGCCGCAAGGCUG